rnacentral:rRNA from 1 species
GACGAACGCUGGCGGCGUGCUUAACACAUGCAAGUCGAACGAGGCCCAUUCUUCGGGGUGGGUUCUAGUGGCGAACGGGUGAGUAACACGUGGGCAACCUGCCCCCGGCUCUGGGAUAACUCCAAGAAAUUGGGGCUAAUACCGGAUAUGACCGCUGACCGCAUGGUCUGGUGGUGGAAAGUUUUUCGGCUGGGGAUGGGCCCGCGGCCUAUCAGCUUGUUGGUGGGGUAGUGGCCUACCAAGGCGACGACGGGUAGCCGGCCUGAGA